ACCGGUGGCGUCCGUCGUAGCGAGCCCGGCUCGGCGGAGGGAAAUGAUCGAGAGCUGUCUGAACGCGCGUUUUCUUGUCGGCCCCGCUGUAGGCAGGGGGUCUGCAAACUCAACAAAGAUUCCAGAACCCCAGCCCUAACUGCUCAUCCGGUGAGCGCGGGAGCCAGACUCUUCAGCCGGCUUUUUACAAAGUUCUGCUUGCUUUGUGUAGCUUCGACUGGAGAUUUCCCAAAGCAGUUUGUGUUUUGUUUUGCAAUCCUUUCCAUAAUUUUAGCUCGUGUAGUUGAGUGAGAGUGUUUAUAGUACUGAAGAAAACAUUCUAACAGCAUUGGAUGCUUAUUGCUCUUUUGGUUCAACUAAGAUUUAUAAAAGUAGGACAUAGCACAUUUUCCACUUAAAACAGUCCCUAUCUUUAAGAUAAAUUAACACCACGUGGGAGAGAGAAAGAACCAGAGGAACAGAAGAGGGAUACACUGGAUAGAAGAACUACUAGUUCAGUGAUCUUCAAACAGUUACUCUCUUAUCCCCAAAAGAAUUGAUCAGGAUGAAAUUUGCAGCAUAAUGUAUAAUGUCACUUGGUGGAACAUUCAGGAAGCCUCCAGAGAGGCCCACAGGAAUGGAGAUCACCAUCCCACAGCCAGCAAAUACUGAGACUUGCAGAAGACUACACGAGUGAGCUGGGAAGUGAAUUCUCCAGCCCUAGGCAAGCUUCAAGGUGAUAUUAGUCCCCCAGCCCAACAACUUGACAGCAACCUCUGGGGACCCUAAGCCAUUCCCUGAUUCCUGACUCUCAGAAACUGUAGGAGAGAAUAAGUGCUGUUUUAAGCUCCUACGUGAGAAGUAAUCUGUUAC